rfam:Neotoma lepida isolate 417 scaffold_406, whole genome shotgun sequence.
AAAUUGGCUUUCUUAGAAGCCCUACUACAUAUUAAACUAAAAGUUGU